rnacentral:misc_RNA from 1 species
GUAGGUGAACCUGCGGAAGGAUCAUUAACACGAAUUUUAUCCAAUAUCAAAACCAACCGUGAACUUUUCCCCUCCCUGUAAGUUGAAAGCAAUUCAUUGUGAUCAGCUUACAGGCUAACCCUUUUUUAAUUUUAACCCCUAUUAACUCUUUGUUUUACCUAUUUAUAGGCCAAAACAACUAACUAAAAAAUUGACUAAGACCCAACAAUUUAUUUGUUGUCCUCUUAUUUAUAUUUUUUCUAUUACGAAAUAAUAUUUACUAAAGAACAACUCUUAACAAUGGAUAUCUUGGUUCUC